UGGGGAAUUUUGGACAAUGGGCGAAAGCCUGAUCCAGCAAUGCCGCGUGUGUGAAGAAGGCCUUCGGGUUGUAAAGCACUUUUGUCCGGAAAGAAAUCCUUGGCUCUAAUACAGUCGGGGGAUGACGGUACCGGAAGAAUAAGCACCGGCUAACUACGUGCCAGCAGCCGCGGUAAUACGUAGGGUGCAAGCGUUAAUCGGAAUUACUGGGCGUAAAGCGUGCGCAGGCGGUUUGCUAAGACCGAUGUGAAAUCCCCGGGCUCAACCUGGGAACUGCAUUGGUGACUGGCAGGCUAGAGUAUGGCAGAGGGGGGUAGAAUUCCACGUGUAGCAGUGAAAUGCGUAGAGAUGUGGAGGAAUACCGAUGGCGAAGGCAGCCCCCUGGGCCAAUACUGACGCUCAUGCACGAAAGCGUGGGGGAGCAAAACAGGAUUAGAUACCCUGGUAGUCCACGCCCUAAACGAUGUCAACUCGUUGUUGGGGAUUCAUUUCCUUAGUAACGUAGCUAACGCGUGAAGUUGACCGCCUGGGGAGUACGGUCGCAAGAUUAAAACUCAAAGGAAUUGACGGGGUCAUAGCUGUUUCCU
rnacentral:rRNA from 1 species